UCAAGUGACUAAGUGUACGAGGCGGAUGCCUUGGCGAUCACAGGCGAUGAAGGACGUAGAAGCUUGCGAAAAGCUGCGGGGAGCCGGCAAACGGGCCUCGAUCCGCAGAUAUCCGAAUGGGGGAACCCACCUGGAAACAGGUAUCGUCCCGCGAGGGACGAGGCGAACGGAGUGAACUGAAACAUCUAAGUAACUCUAGGAAAAGAAAUCAACCGAGAUCUCGAAAGUAGCGGCGAGCGAAAUCGAGCCAGCCGUUUACUAUUAACUUAAUGCAUAGACGAAAGGCGUGGGAAAGCCUGCCACAGAGGGUGAUAGCCCCGUAGUUAAAAUGCAAUGAGCGGAACUAAGGUAAACAAGAAGUAGGGCGGGACACGUGGUAUCCUGUCCGAAGAUGGGGGGACCAUCCUCCAAGGCUAAAUACUCGUGAUCGACCGAUAGUGAACCAGUACUGUGAAGGAAAGGCGAAAAGAACCCCGGGAGGGGAGUGAAAUAGAAUCUGAAACCGCGUACAUACAAACAGUAGGAGCCCGCAAGGGUGACUGCGUACCUUUUGCAUAAUGGGUCAGCGACUUACGUUUUGUGGCGAGCCUAACCGAGUAGGGGAGGCGAAGCGAAAGCGAGUCCGAACAGGGCGCCUAGUCGCAAGGCGUAGACCCGAAACCAGAUGAGCUAACCAUGGCCAGGUUGAAGGUGUGGUAACACACGCUGGAGGACCGAACGAACCGGUGUUGCAAAACCGGUCGAUGAGCUGUGGUUAGGGGUGAAAGGCUUAACAAAUCUGGAGAUAGCUGGUUCUCCCCGAAAACUAUUGAGGUAGUGCCUCGUGUGUCGCUCCAGGGGGUAGAGCACUGUUUUGGCUAGGGGGACAUGGAGUCUUACCAAACCAAGGCAAACUCCGAAUACCUGGAAGCGUGAGCACGGGAGACAGAGCACCGGGUGCUAACGUCCGGACUCAAAAGGGAAACAACCCAGACCGCCGUUUAAGGUCCCUAAUAUUAACUAAGUGGGAAACGAAGUGUGAAGGCUAAGACAGUCAGGAAGUUGGCUUAGAAGCAGCCAUCCUUCAAAGAAAGCGUAAUAGCUCACUGAUCGAGUCCUCAUGCGCGGAAGAUGUAUCGGGGCUAAGUUAAUAACCGAAAGCGCGGAUUUCGCAGCAAUGCGAAGUGGUAGGGGAGCGUUCUGUAAGCCUGCGAAGGUGACUUGAGAAGGUUGCUGGAGGUAUCAGAAGUGCGAAUGCUGACAUGAGUAACGAUAAAGCGGGUGAAAAGCCCGCUCGCCGCAAGCCCAAGGUUUCCUGCUCUACGUUCAUCGGAGCAGGGUGAGUCGGCCCCUAAGGCCAGGCUGAGAAGCGUAGUCGAUGGGAAUCAGGUUAAUAAUCCUGAACCGCAUCAGAAUGCGAUGGGGGGACGGAGUUUGGAAGGUCAUCCGGGUGUUGGAUAUCCCGGUUUGUGAGAGUAGGAGGUUCGCAGGCAAAUCCGCGGACAUAUCUCCGAGUCAAAGCAUCGAGCUUUCGUUAGAAAGUGAAGUGAUUGGAAGAACUUCCAGGAAAAGCCUCUAAGCUUCAGUUUUGAUGUGACCGUACCGUAAACCGACACUGGUGGGCGAGUUGAAUAUACUAAGGCGCUUGAGAGAACUCGGGAGAAGGAACUCGGCAAAUUGACACCGUAACUUCGGAAGAAGGUGUGCCUUUGUAGCUUGAUGGGAGAGAAACCCAAAGGGCGAAGAGGUCUCAGAGAAUCGGUGGCUGUAACUGUUUACUAAAAACACAGCGCUCUGCAAAGAUGAAAGUCGACGUAUAGGGCGUGAUGCCUGCCCGGUGCUGGAAGAUUAAUUGAUGGGGUGCAAGCUCCUGAUCGAAGUCCCAGUAAACGGCGGCCGUAACUAUAACGGUCCUAAGGUAGCGAAAUUCCUUGUC
rnacentral:rRNA from 1 species